rnacentral:rRNA from 1 species
GAUCCUGGCUCAGGACGAACGCUGGCGGCGCGCCUAACACAUGCAAGUCGAACGAGCGAGAGAGAGCUUGCUCUCUCAAGUCGAGUGGCGAACGGGUGAGUAACGCGUGAGGAACCUGCCUCAAAGAGGGGGACAACAGUUGGAAACGACUGCUAAUACCGCAUAAGCCCACGACCCGGCAUCGGGUUGAGGGAAAAGGAGCAAUCCGGCUUUGAGAUGGCCUCGCGUCCGAUUACGCUAG